rnacentral:misc_RNA from 1 species
AACCUAGCACACCUGCGGUGUGUACCUGCGGAAGGAUCAUUACAGAGUUGCAAAACUCCCUAAACCAUUGUGAACGUUACCUAAACCGUUGCUUCGGCGGGCGGCCCGGGUCCUUCCCGGCGCCCCUCGGCCCUCGCGGGCGCCCGCCGGAGGUAAACCAAACUAUUGCAUUGUAUGGCCUCUCUGAGUCUUCUGUACUGAAUAAGUCAAAACUUUUAGCAACGGAUCUCAGAUCGGAAG